CAACAUUGCUGGCCUUACGGAUUAGUUUAUUAAGUCUGUUGGCAUCUGCGACCCUCAGCCUGCUCCCCCAGCAUGCAACAGCGUGCCAGUGAUGUCUUCCACAUCACUGGGACCCUCUGCAGACUCAGACUCAGCAUAAACAGUUUAUGAAAGACUCCACUCAGCUGGGGGGCACAGGUCUUGAGGACGCGGGGACUCACUCCGUCUGGUCCAGCAGACUUGCCUGAGUGAAGUCUCCUCAUUUGCAUCUCAACCUGGUAUUGAGUGAAGGUGAUGGGUGGGGGAGGGGUGUCAGGACUCUCACAGGAGGCAACAGCGCCAUGUGAAUCGAUAUCACGUUAUCCAAGCCAGAAUCGAUUUUAAUCGAUGAAUCGAUUAUUAAAACCCACCCCUCUGUUCAGAUACUUCCAACAGGUGUAUCUACUAAAAAUCUCAGAAUCUGUGACCUUGACCUCAGUGUCCCCAGUGUUUUGGGUUUUUUGUCUUGUCCCACAGGAUUUUUAAAUCUUUUGCUUGUUGAGAUUCCUUACCUUCAUUUUUUUCAGGACAAAGUGACAACAGUGACAAGUUUUCUGCAUAUUUUUACAGGAUGACAAGAACAGCACUGGAUCUCAGAUGUGAUAUUGUUUAUUGUGUCUGCAGAUACCCAAGGAGGACGCACAGGCGUUUGCCAGAGAGAACAGGAUCCACUACAUGGAGGCCUCGGCGAAGAAUCGCUUCAAUGUUGAUGAAGCCUUCUUGGAGCUUGUGCAUAUUAUUAGACAGUUUCAGGAGAUGGAGAGCCCUCCUCCAACUCAUCACACAGGGAAGGAGAAAAGUCGUGGCUGUCCCUGUGUCAUCCUUUAAGCACUAUUAUUACGAAUACCAAAGCCUCAUUCCUCUGCAGAAAGGUGUUUUUGUGUGUACAUAUGAGUGUGUAUGUGCGCAAGAGAGAAGGUGGAUCAGUUUCUUUCCAGAUGAUUACAUUUGCACUUUUGUUAAAAGCAACAUUUAAUUUGGUUUAAUUUUAAGUAGAGAACUGAAAGGAAGAGGUGUGAGCAGCAGCAGGGCGGCACUUGUGACGCAGAUUAAUAAUAACGUUACAACACAAAUCAUAAUUUGUGUCCACAAAUAGAAAUAUCACCAAAAAAUGUAGUAUAUAAUUCACUCUUCAGUGAUGCUAUUUUAAACAAAUCCAGAUACCAGCAUCUGCAACACCACGGCAUCCAUAACUGUCUGAAGAAAUGACAUUAAAUGUGAUAUGUGCAAAAAUUAGCAUGUCAUAAAUGGACAAAUGCUGAUUUUCCCCUUGGCAUGGCUUCGUAUGUUAAGUCGUAAGGGCCAAAGCAAUGCCAUUUUCCAUGCCCUCCUGCAAGGGGCAGGAGAGCUCCAAAGAAGUAUUAUUAUUCAAGACAAAAAGAAGAAUCAUAGCAGAAGCUGGAGUCAGUCUCAAAAGACGAACAAUAUUGAAUACAUCCAUGAAUAACAUGUCAUUUAAGAUCCUGAUCAAAUGACAGUAUUGGCCAUGUGUUGUGCGAUGGCUGCAUCGUUGCAUCGUGGUACUCUAUACUAUGUAUUUGGGGGGUUUUGUACUUUUUCUUUGUAUUUCUCUACUUUAUCAUCGUAAUUGUGAAAAUGCAGUAUAAGCGUUUUGAGUGCUCCAGUGUAGUAGAAAGUGCUACAGAAGAACCUGUCCAUAUACUGGAAGGGUGUGGUCACAACUUCGUGGGUCUCCAGGUGGCAAGAAGCGUCCUAAGAACAAUUAAGAUACUGAACAGAACCCGAAAAUAUAUUGAAUUAAGUCACUUUUAUAAACUAUUAAAACAUUUAUCUGAACUUUA